GGUAGUCUCUUUAUUAAGACAAACUGGUCCACUGGGUGAAUUGUCUGAAAUGAUUUACAUGUUGGAUCUUUCCUCCAUACCUUAUGUCUACCUAAUCAAAGCUCAAAGCAUGUGUACAUUUUAACCAGUCCAUUAUGGAUACUUAGGAGAAGCAAACAUGAAGUUGUACCAGAAAACAUGGAUGGUGGUGAGUCAGAUGACAAUGAUGACGAUGAGAAAGACAGGGAUGAGGAUGGAGAUGAUCAAGAAGAUGACGGAGGCAAAGAUCUCUCGGGGAGGAGAAUGAUGGCAAAGGAGAUGAAGAUGAUGAUGACCCUGAGGCCAAUUAUGGAGGAGGAAGCGAAGAGGAGGAUUAUGAAGAUGAUGAUGGGGACGAGGAUCAAGAAGAGGAAGGGGAAGAGGAAGAUGAAGAAGAUGAGAAUGAUGAAGAGGACAAGGAACUACCACAGCCAGCUACCAAGAAGAGGAAGUGAGGCAGGGGGUGUGGGUCGUGUGGCAUCUGGUCCUCGAGAGUUUGUUUCAUUUUGGUCACUGUUGGUUAGACAAUAGCAUUAAGGUGGAGUUUAGUUUCUGGCUGGGAGUGGGUCCUCAUCGAUUAUUAGGCAAAGAGGGAUAACUUGCCGUCAGUGAACAUGAUACUUAAAUGUUCUUCAUUGUAUAUGUUCAAGGCUACUUCUUGUGCUCAGUGCUACUCUAUACCCUUAACCUGGAGGCCAAGUAUAAUCCUAGUUGCUUGUCUUUUCAUUUUUGCGAGAA